rnacentral:lncRNA from 7 species
CGUCUUUUGAUCUUCUUUUAUUUUCAUCCCAGUACACCAUGUCUUCUUUUAUUCUCCAAAAAAAUCCCAGUAUGCUAGUGAGAACAAUUUUAUUGGCACUAUGGAUUCCUGCAAAUGAAAAAAUAGAAACUAUUUAUAUAAUACAAAACAUACACUAAAUGGUCCGAU